AGGACGAACGCUGGCGGCGUGCUUAACACAUGCAAGUCGAGCGGAAAGGCCCUUCGGGGUACUCGAGCGGCGAACGGGUGAGUAACACGUGAGCAAUCUGCCCUUAGCUUCGGGAUAGCCCCGGGAAACCGGGAUUAAUACCGAAUACGACCUCGGCCGACAUCGGCCUUGGUGGAAAGUUUUUCGGCUAGGGAUGAACUCGCGGCCUAUCAGCUUGUUGGUGGGGUAAUAGCCUACCAAGGCGACGACGGGUAGCCGGCCUGAGAGGGCGACCGGCCACGACUGGGACUGAGACACGGCCCAGACUCCUACGGGAGGCAGCAGUGGGGAAUAUGCGCAAUGGGCGAAAGCCUGACGCAGCGACGCCGCGUGGGGGAUGAAGGCCUUCGGGUUGUAAACCCUUUCAGCAGGGACGAAGCGAGAGUGACGGUACCUGCAGAAGAAGCGCCGGCUAACUACGUGCCAGCAGCCGC
rnacentral:rRNA from 1 species